AUUGAACGCUGGCGGCAGGCUUAACACAUGCAAGUCGAGCGGAGAUGAGGUGCUUGCACCUUAUCUUAGCGGCGGACGGGUGAGUAAUGCUUAGGAAUCUGCCUAUUAGUGGGGGACAACAUUCCGAAAGGAAUGCUAAUACCGCAUACGUUCUACGGGAGAAAGCAGGGGAUCUUCGGACCUUGCUCUAAUAGAUGAGCCUAAGUCGGAUUAGCUAGUUGGUGGGGUAAAGGCCUACCAAGGCGACGAUCUGUAGCGGGUCUGAGAGGAUGAUCCGCCACACUGGGACUGAGACACGGCCCAGACUCCUACGGGAGGCAGCAGUGGGGAAUAUUGGACAAUGGGGGGAACCCUGAUCCAGCCAUGCCGCGUGUGUGAAGAAGGCCUUAUGGUUGUAAAGCACUUUAAGCGAGGAGGAGGCUACUGAGACUAAUACUCUUGGAUAGUGGACGUUACUCGCAGAAUAAGCACCGGCUAACUCUGUGCCAGCAGCCGCCGUAA
rnacentral:rRNA from 1 species